GAUGUGUAGCUGGACUGAGAGGUUGAACAGCCACAUUGGGACUGAGACACGGCCCAAACUCCUACGGGAGGCAGCAGUAGGGAAUUUUCGGCAAUGGAGGAAACUCUGACCGAGCAACGCCGCGUGAAUGACGAAGUACUUCGGUAUGUAAAGUUCUUUUAUCAAGGAAGAAAAGCAAAUGGCGAACCAUUUGUUUGCCGGUACUUGAUGAAUAAGCCCCGGCUAAUUAUGUGCCAGCAGCCGCGGUAAGACAUAAGGGGCAAGUGUUAUCCGGAAUUAUUGGGCGUAAAGGGUGCGUAGGCGGUCUAGUAAGUCAGUGGUGUAAUGGCAACGCUUAACGUUGUCCGGCUAUUGAAACUGCUAAACUUGAGUUAGAUAGAGGCGAGUGGAAUUCCAUGUGUAGCGGUAAAAUGCGUAAAUAUAUGGAGGAACACCAGAGGCGUAGGCGGCUCGCUGGGUCUUAACUGACGCUGAGGCACGAAAGCGUGGGGAGCAAACAGGAUUAGAUACCCUGGUAGUCCACGCCGUAAACGAUGAGUACUAAGUGUCGGGUUAAACCGGUACUGAAGUUAACACAUUAAGUACUCCGCCUGAGUAGUACGUACGCAAGUAUGAAACUUAAAGGAAUUGACGGGACUCCGCACAAGCGGUGGAUCAUGUUGUUUAAUUCGAAGAUACCCGAAAAACCUUACCAGGUCUUGACAUGUUUUUGCAAAAUGAUAGUAAUAUCGUGGAGGUUACCAGAAACACAGGUGGUGCAUGGUUGUCGUCAGCUCGUGUCGUGAGAUGUUAGGUUAAGUCCUAAAACGAGCGAAACCCUUAUCGUUAGUUGCCAGCACGUUAUGGUGGGGACUUUAACGAGACUGCCAAUGAUAAAUUGGAGGAAGGUGAGGAUCACGUCAAAUCAGCAUGCCCCUUAUGACCUGGGCUACAAACGUGAUACAAUGGCUGUUACAAAGGGUAGCUGAAACGCAAGUUCUUGGCCAAUCCCCAAAAACAGUCCCAGUCCGGAUUGAAGUCUGCAACUCGACUUCAUGAAGUUGGAAUCGCUAGUAA
rnacentral:rRNA from 1 species